rnacentral:rRNA from 1 species
AAGAAGCGAAGCGGUGACGUGGAGCAAACCUCAGAAAGCCAAUCUCAGUUCGGAUUGUAGGCUGCAACUCGCCUACAUGAAGUUGGAAUCGCUAGUAAUCGCGAAUCAGAAUGUCGCGGUGAAUACGUUCCCGGGUCUUGUACACACCGCCCGUCACACCACGAGAGUUUACAACACCCGAAGUCAGUGGCCUAACCGCAAGGAGGGAGCUGCCUAAGGUGGGGUAGAUGAUUGGGGUGAAGUCGUAACAAGGUACC